AGCAGCCGCGGUAAUUCCAGCUCCAAUAGCGUAUAUUAAAGUUGUUGCAGUUAAAAAGCUCGUAGUUGAAUUUCGGGGUUAGUAGGUUGGUCAUGCCUCUGGUAUGUACUGGUCUCACUGAUUCCUCCUUCCUGAUGAACCGUAAUGCCGUUAAUUUGGUGUUGCGGGGAAUUUGGACUGUUACUUUGAAAAAAUUAGAGUGUUUAAAGCAAGCUAACGCUUGAAUACAUUAGCAUGGAAUAAUGAAAUAGGACGUUCGAUCCUAUUUUGUUGGUUUCUAGGAUUGACGUAAUGAUUAAUAGGGAUAGUUGGGGGCAUUAGUAUUCAAUUGUCAGAGGUGAAAUUCUUGGAUUUAUUGAAGACUAACUACUGCGAAAGCAUUUGCCAAGGAUGUUUUCAUUAAUCAAGAACGAAAGUUAGGGGAUCGAAGACGAUCAGAUACCGUCGUAG
rnacentral:rRNA from 1 species